rnacentral:rRNA from 1 species
CCUACGGGUGGCAGCAGUGGGGGAUAUUGCACAAUGGGGGGAACCCUGAUGCAGCGAAGCCGCGUGGGUGAAGAAGCGCCUCGGCGCGUAAAGCCCUGUCAGCAGGGAAGAAAAUGACGGUACCUGUAGACGAAGCCACGGCUAACUACGUGCCAGCAGCCGCGGUAAUACGUAGGGGGCACGCGUUAUCCCGAUUUACUGGGGGUAAAGGGGGAGCAGACGGCGUUGCAAGCCAGGAGUGAAAGCGCGGGGCCCAACCCCGGGACUGCUCUUGGAACUGCGUGGCUGGAGUGCAGGAGGGGCAUGCGGAAUGCCUGGUGUAGCGGUGAAAUGCGUAGAUAUCAGGAGGAACACCGGUGGCGAAGGCGGCCUGCUGGACUGCAACUGACGUUGAGGCCCGAAAGCGUGGGGAGCGAACAGGAUUAGAUACCCCAGUAGUC